rnacentral:piRNA from 1 species
UCAAUAGCCAGAUGAGCAUAGCAACAAGG